rnacentral:pre_miRNA from 1 species
GUGUGUGGAUGGUGUUCAGCACCAGGGACAGGUAUGUUUACCUGUGUGUAGAUGGUGUUUAGCAACAGGGACAGGUAUAAUUUACU